rnacentral:lncRNA from 1 species
AGUGUUAACCAUGUUCUGAAGAGCAUUCUGUUGAAAAAUCUUAUAUGUGAAUUGGGUCUGCAGAUGACACUUCAGCAUUAAAGUAUGUAUCAACUAUCAUCAUGUGUUUUUUGUUUUGGUCGCAAAAGUUUACAAUUUGCCAUUGUGCCGUCUACAUUUUGCACAGACAAUAACUCAUCUAAAACACUUAUUUGUCCUGGAUUUAUAUACAUCAGAAUCCAGUCUCACAUACUUAAACUUUAUAAUUCUUACCAAUUAUUUUUUGUACCAGCAUUCCAAGGGACAUAACCCUUUUUUAAAAACAUUUUGAGGUAUUUUUUAUUACUCUUUCUCCCCAUUUUCUAAUGUAAAAUACAAGAAAGUGGACUUUUUGUGUAAAUCUAUUAGAAAUAUACUGUUAUGAGUAAAUAAAAAGACUUUGAUACCAGUAGCAAUAAAUGAUUGACUGAAAGGGAACCGUUAUUUCUCACACUAGGGGAACAGACCAAAAACUCAAGUUACACAUAAGGGCUUAUAGAAACUUCCGUGUAGACUGUUAACAUUUAUAGAGACAGUUCUUUCAGCUAAAACACUUUAAUUAUUGAUUUAACAUUACAUUUAUUUCAUUUUUGUGGGAAAAUAAUCAAAUUUGUUUUAUUUUUUAGACAAAAGAUAUCAAGUUUUGAUGAAAAGGGAAGGAAGGAGGAAAAUGGACCAAAACAGACCAAAACAGACCUUCAAAUGAACUCUAAAAGGUGCAAUAAAAUUGUUUAUCAUCUUAAUGUUGUCUUUUGUAUUCUAUUUAAUUGUUUGAAUGCAUAUAUCAUGAGUUUAUGAUCAGAUAUUAGUCAACACUGCAUUUUAUAAUGAUACACUGAAAUUAGGAUUUUUCGAAGAAAUUGGACUGAAAUUGCCGUAGGAUAUGGCCUUACAUUAUAGUGAUUUUCUCUGAAACUAUAGUUCUGACUGAGACAAAACUUGACAGUUAUGCUUGAAAUAACUUGCAAUUGGAGGGGAAAAAAUUGCAUUAAGUUUAUUUGACAUUUAGGUGUUCUUUAGGUGUAAUACCACCAAAUCAUGGUACGUCACAUCCGGUUGCAUACGAAAGUAGGCCUUAAAAAAUAUUCCCUUGAAUUUGACAGUUGUAGAAAAUUAACCCUGCAUUUUAAUGCACUUAAAUUUUUUUGAGUCGUAAAUAUGUAUGUUGGGUGUCUGAAAGCAUCAUUCUUUUUUUAAUUGGUGGUCUUAUAAAAUAUUUUGGAACGUUAAGGUUACAUAGUUACCAAAGCAGGUAACCAGUAAAUAACAGUGUAAAAAUUGGGUUGUCUACCCUCGGCGGUGGUUACUUUCUUAUAUGCAAUGAAAUGUGGUGUGAAAUUUUCACUGUAUCACUGGAAAGGAUUGAACUUUACACAUGCAAAGUAUUUCUUUGGUUGAAAUAAAGCUAAAUACUGUACGAUUUUUUUAAAAGUGCCAAUUUAACAAAGACUAAUAGGGAAAAAUCAAUGGUGGUAUUACACCUAUUUAGGGAAACUAAAUGUGCACUCGUGACCCUAUUGUACGUUCAUUUUUAAAAGUUAUUAAUAAACCAGUUCAUACAUUGUAAACAUGGACUAUUCGGAAUUGAUUUAGACACAGAAAGUACGUUUGAGGUAAAAUUGCAUUGAAAUGGGGGUUUACGGGUGUUUUCUUAGUCAAAUGGAUGGACAGACGAAGCUGUAUUUAGAUUACUGUGUUAAAUUUUAAAUUACCCUUACAGUUUUUGUUUUGGUUAUACAACAUGUGAAUUUUUUAUUUCAGUGUUAACCAUGUUCUGAAGAGCAUUCUGUUGAAAAAUCUUAUAUGUGAAUUGGUCUGCAGAUGACACUUUAGCAUUAAAGUAUGUAUCAACUAUCAUCAUGUGUUUUUUUGUUUUGGUCGCAAAAGUUUACAAUUUGCCAUUGUGCCGUCUACAUUUUGCACAGACAAUAACUCAUCUAAACACUUAUUUGUCCUGGAUUUAUAUACAUCAGAAUCCAGUCUCACAUACUUAAACUUUAUAAUUCUUACCAAUUAUUUUUUGUACCAGCAUUCCAAGGGACAUAACCCUUUUUAAAAAACAUUUUGAGGUAUUUUUUUAUUACUCUUUCUCCCCAUUUUCUAAUGUAAAAUACAAGAAAGUGGACUUUUUGUGUAAAUCUAUUAGAAAUAUACUGUUAUGAGUAAAUAAAAAGACUUUGAUACCAGUAGCAAUAAAUGAUUGACUGAAAGGGAACCGUUAUUUCUCACACUAGGGGAACAGACCAAAAACUCAAGUUACACAUAAGGGCUUAUAGAAACUUCCGUGUAGACUGUUAACAUUUAUAGAGACAGUUCUUUCAGCUAAAACACUUUAAUUAUUGAUUUAACAUUACAUUUAUUUCAUUUUUGUGGGAAAAUAAUCAAAUUUGUUUUAUUUUUUAGACAAAAGAUAUCAAGUUUUGAUGAAAAGGGAAGGAAGGAGGAAAAUGGACCAAAACAGACCAAAACAGACC